GUAGGUGGCAAGCGUUGUCCGGAAUUAUUGGGCGUAAAGCGCGCGCAGGCGGUUUUUAAGUCUGAUGUGAAAGCCCACGGGCUCAACCGUGGAGGGUCAUUGGAAACUGGAGAACUUGAGUACAGAAGAGGAAAGCGGAAUUCCACGUGUAGCGGUGAAAUGCGUAGAGAUGUGGAGGAACACCAGUGGCGAAGGCGGCUUUCUGGUCUGUAACUGACGCUGAGGCGCGAAAGCGUGGGGAGCAAACAGGAUUAGAUACCCUGGUAGUCCACGCCGUAAACGAUGAGUGCUAAGUGUUAGGGGGUUUCCGCCCCUUAGUGCUGCAGCUAACGCAUUAAGCACUCCGCCUGGGGAGUACGGCCGCAAAGGCUG
rnacentral:rRNA from 1 species